ensembl:snRNA U6 U6 spliceosomal RNA
GUGCUUGCUUUGGCAGCACAUAUACUAUAAUUGGAACAAUACAGAGAAGAUUAGCAUGGCUCCUGCCCAAGGGUGACAUGUGAAUUCUUGAAGCAAAAACCACAAUG